UUGAAAGUUUUAAACUAGAGCCCGACCGAUAUGGGUUUUUUUGGGGACCGAUACCGAUAUUGGGGAGUAAAAAAGGCCGAUGUCAAUAUAUCGGCCAAUGUUCUUUGUGUAUAUUAUAGUACAGU